GUGGUAAGGAUAACUUUAGCACCAUUCUGAAUAAGGUGCUUGAUGGUGGGUAUGGCAGCACGGAUCCUGGUAUCAUCGGUGAUGUUCUGGUUGUCAUCAAGAGGGACAUUGAGGUCCGCCCUGACAAACACCUUCUUCCCCUUGAGCUCCGCCGCGGACAAGUCUCCGACACUCUUCUUCGCCAUCGCGGCCACCGCUCUCACUCCCUUCCCUCUCACCGCCGCAACUCUGGAUGCAACAUUCACCGCCAGUAACGGGUCCGCCGCCGAGAAUCCCAGCCGCCUGAGUGGGCG
rnacentral:lncRNA from 1 species